UCUCCGGCGGGGGGGCGGCCGUUGGGAAAUUUUGGACAAUGGGGGAACCCCCAUCCACCCAUGCCGGGGGGGGGAUGAAGGCGUUCGGGAUGUAAAGCACCUUUGGCAGGAAGGCAACGUCAUGGGCUCAUACCCCGUGAAACUGACGGUACAUGCAGAAUAAGCACUGGCUAAUUACGUGCCAGCAGCCGCGGUAAUACGUAGGGUGCAAGCGUUAAUCGGAAUUACUGGGCGUAAAGCGUGCGCAGGCGGUUCGGAAAGAAAGAUGUGAAAUCCCAGAGCUUAACUUUGGAACUGCAUUUUUAACUACCGGGCUAGAGUGUGUCAGAGGGAGGUGGAAUUCCGCGUGUAGCAGUGAAAUGCGUAGAUAUGCGGAGGAACACCGAUGGCGAAGGCAGCCUCCUGGGAUAACACUGACGCUCAUGCACGAAAGCGUGGGGAGCAAACAGGAUUAGAUACCCUGGUAGUCCACGCCCUAAACGAUGUCAACUAGCUGUUGGGGCCUUCGGGCCUUGGUAGCGCAGCUAACGCGUGAAGUUGACCGCGUGGGGAGUACGGUCGCAAGAUUAAAACUCAAAGGAAUUGACGGGGACCCGCACAAGCGGUGGAUGAUGUGGAUUAAUUCGAUGCAACGCGCAAAACCUUACCUACCCUUGACAUGUCUGGAAUCCUGAAGAGAUUUAGCAGUGCUCGCAUGAGAACCGGAACACAGGUGCUGCAUGUCUGUCGUCAGCUCGUGUCGUGAGAUGUUGGGUUAAGUCCCGCAACGAGCGCAACCCUUGUCAUUAGUUGCUACGAAAGGGCACUCUAAUGAGACUGCCGGUGACAAACCGGAGGAAGGUGGGGAUGACGUCAAGUCCUCAUGGCCCUUAUGGCUAGGGCUUCACACGUCAUACAAUGGUCGGGACAGAGGGUCUCCAACCCGCGAGGGGGACGCCAAUCCCAGAAACCCGAUCGUAGUCCGGAUCGCAGUCUGCAACUCGACUGCGUGAAGUCGGAAUCGCUAGUAAUCGCGGAUCAGCAUGUCGCGGUGAAUACGUUCCCGGGUCUUGUACACACCGCCCGUCACACCAUGGGAGUGGGUUUCACCAGAAGUAGCUAGCCUAAGAGCAAGUGAGGCGAU
rnacentral:rRNA from 1 species